UAGGCGUACGGGUGAGUAACACGUGGAUAAUCUACCCUGGAGUGGGGAAUAACGCUGGGAAACCGGCGCUAAUACCGCAUAAUCCCGAGAGGGCAAAGGAGCAAUUCGCUUCAGGAGGAGUCUGCUGCCGAUUAGCUAGUUGGCAGGGUAAAAGCCUACCAAGGCAACGAUCGGUAGCCGGCCUGAGAGGGCACACGGCCACACUGGCACUGAAACACGGGCCAG
rnacentral:rRNA from 1 species